CUUGCUCCUCAGAAAGGGGAAGCUGGAGGGUGACGGCGGAAAGCGGCCCUUCUCACCCUGGCAGGGGACGCCCCAACUUCAGGUAACAGGGCAGAGGGGAGCCGAAGGCCUAUGGGGGCAUCCGUUAUGCAGAGUCUGAGCUCAGACAGGGACAGGACCUGAGACGUGCCGAUACACCCCAGAACUUUCCAGAACCUCAUCUGCCUUCUCUCCGAGCUCUACCAGCCUUUGGAGCUCCUGCACCCAGAGAAGACCAGCACCCCAUCAGAAACGUUACCAUGCUGAGUGACCCUGAGUCAUUGGAGCAGGUCACACUGGGCCAACCCAUAGAAAGCUGGGGGAGAUUGGAGCCACUCGAUGGAAGGCGCCUGGGCCCCCCCACGUGACUGUGUGGAGCCGAGCACCCAUCCAGCCCACAUCAGGCUCAGGCACGAGAGAGAAGUUAACCUCUAUAGUGUGGGAAGUCACUGAGACAUACUGUGGGUUUUUGGUUUGCUGGAGCCCCCAGGGCCCGCAGGAGGCUGAUGGAAUGAGGGCCACCCAAGGCAGGAGCAGCUUCCUGUGGCUUCACAAGCAGCAGAAGGAGAGGAAGAAGAGAACAGGAGAGGAACAAAGAAGGAGAGGAAGGAGAGAGCAGAUGCUUCCUUACAGGGGCAUCUGAGGACCUCCAGGACUCCGGGGGCCUUAGUGGGUAGGGGGAUGGGUCCCAUGGUACAAGUGAGUCACAGGGCCUGCACAGAGCUGCAGCAGUGGCCAGGGUUCUCUGUGAGCCAACAGCUACAGCCCUGAGAGCCCAGAAGGCCAAGGAGACCCAAAGCUGCACAUCCAGUGACAAUCCACCCCCUCAUCCCCAACUUUGCCCUUUCCUCUGAACACUACAGGAAAUACUGCCACCGGCUGCCCCAAAGUUCUCCUUGAAGAUAUGGCAGAGUCUUGUGUUGGGAACGUGGGCAAUCUGGAGUUGCCUCCCCAUUGCACAACCAGCUUGCUCCGGACAUUAGCUUUUGGACUCUGUCAAGCCUAUGUGCGAGUGCGUGCCUCUGGGUCUCUUCUAAGGACACUGCUCAUUGAACCAAGAUUUAAAUCACAUGAGCUACCUGCACCCCAUUCUCCUAUCCAUGGGUGGGGGCAAUGGAGCAGGCUUCUAAGAUGGCCCCGGUGAACCACGGCCUCCUGGCGUUCACACCCUCAUGCGGUCCUUCCCCCUUGGAGCCAACCCCGUGAUUCGACUGUGGCAGAGAUGUGCCGGUUUCAGGUCUGGCCUGUCAGAGGGCUGCCAGCUUCAGCUGCUUCCUCCUGGACCCUGCACCUUGGGGAGCUCUGUGCCCCAUCUCCAAAACCCAGGUUCCCUCCAGGGAGAUGACCCAAGAGGCACUCUUGGACUGCAUGGAACAGAGAGAAGCCCAGCUGUCUCAGGGUCCAAUCAAGCCCACAGAUGACAGCAGCCCAGCCACUCUCUGGAGGUUUGCAGUGGAAUCAGAAGAACUGGCCUGCUGAGCCCAGCCAGCCCAGCAUAACGGGCUGGCGAUAUCAUCAAUAAUAGGCUGGCUGUUUGGGGCAAACAGUUUAAUUGGCAGUGGAGAAAGGAAAUUGUAGGAUUCACCCUCCACCUCCCUCGGGGCUGAAAUCUGCAGAAAACCACUUGUGAAACGUCAGUGGAAGAUGACCCUAAGAAGCACCUUAAGCAAGGCCCUGGGGUAGGAUGCUCUUUGGGGAGGCUCUCUUUUCCAGCCUCCUCUAAUCUGCUGUCCUUUCUUCAAUAUUUGGAACAAAGAAUUGUGGAAUUGUCAGAAGCAGCAGGACCCCCAAGAGACUGCAAACUUGGGCCCUACAGGGACACUGGGCUGUGUGGGGACAAUAAGCCUGCUCCUCUGUCCUGUCCCCAUCUGGGACUCCUUCAAAGCCCUCGCAUCGCUGCUGAGGGUGUCCAGGCCAGAGAAGUGGCCUUCCAGGGCUCAGUGCUCCAGGCUGAACCCUGGCUGGGCAGAGAGAGAGGGGCAGGAGAGCCGGCCCCCACUCAGCAUCCUGUCCCCUCUGGCUGCAAGCAUAGCUGGAUGAGGGCUGAUGGGCUGUCACGAUUGUCAUCUGCCCUGGCAACAAGUCAAGGCUGUUACUGAGAGUGCCAUUGCCAUGGAAACCGUGAGUCAGGGCUGCGCUUAGCAGAGCCACACUUGCCAGGGGCUCUCAGAGCCUCUCGUCUGCCAACGCGAAAUGCAGGCCCAGCACACAGCAUCUCCUUGGGACUCAUUAACAGG